AGAGCGAACGCUGGCGGCAGGCUUAACACAUGCAAGUCGAGCGGAUGUAGCAAUACAUCAGCGGCAGACGGGUGAGUAACACGUGGGAACGUACCUUUUGGUUCGGAACAACACAGGGAAACUUGUGCUAAUACCGGAUAAGCCCUUACGGGGAAAGAUUUAUCGCCGAAAGAUCGGCCCGCGUCUGAUUAGCUAGUUGGUGAGGUAAUGGCUCACCAAGGCGACGAUCAGUAGCUGGUCUGAGAGGAUGAUCAGCCACAUUGGGACUGAGACACGGCCCAAACUCCUACGGGAGGCAGCAGUGGGGAAUAUUGGACAAUGGGCGCAAGCCUGAUCCAGCCAUGCCGCGUGAGUGAUGAAGCCCUAGGUUGUAAAGCUCUUUUGUGCGGGAAGAUAAUGACGGUACCGCAAGAAUAAGCCCGGCUAACUUCGUGCCAGCAGCCGC
rnacentral:rRNA from 1 species